AUUCCAGCUCCAAUAGCGUAUAUUUAAGUUGUUGCAGUUAAAAAGCUCGUAGUUGGAUUUCGGAUGGGUUUGACCGGUCCGCCUUUGGUGUGCACUGGUCGCGCCUAUCUUGCUGUCGGGGACGCGCUCCUGGCCUUAAUUGGCUGGGACGCGGAGUCGGCGAUGUUACUUUGAAAAAAUUAGAGUGUUCAAAGCAGGCCUAAGCUCUGAAUACAUUAGCAUGGAAUAACGCUAUAGGACUCUGGUCUUAUUGCGUUGGUCUUCGAGACCGGAGUAAUGAUUAAUAGGGACAAUUGGGGGGAUUCGUAUUAUGGCGUCAGAGGUGGAAUUCUUGGAUUGCCAUAUGACGAACUACUGCGAAAGCAUUUCUCAGGGAUGUUUUCAUCG
rnacentral:rRNA from 1 species